CAGGUGAUCUACCCUUGGUCAGGUUGAAGUUCAGGUAACACUGAAUGGAGGACCGAACCGACUUACGUUGAAAAGUGAGCGGAUGAACUGAGGGUAGCGGAGAAAUUCCAAUCGAACCUGGAGAUAGCUGGUUCUCUCCGAAAUAGCUUUAGGGCUAGCCUCAAGUGAUGAUUAUUGGAGGUAGAGCACUGUUUGGACGAGGGGCCCCUCUCGGGUUACCGAAUUCAGACAAACUCCGAAUGCCAAUUAAUUUAACUUGGGAGUCAGAACAUGGGUGAUAAGGUCCGUGUUCGAAAGGGAAACAGCCCAGACCACCAGCUAAGGUCCCAAAAUAUAUGUUAAGUGGAAAAGGAUGUGGCGUUGCCCAGACAACUAGGAUGUUGGCUUAGAAGCAGCCAUCAUUUAAAGAGUGCGUAAUAGCUCACUAGUCGAGUGACACUGCGCCGAAAAUGUACCGGGGCUAAACAUAUUACCGAAGCUGUGGAUUGUCCUUUGGACAAUGGUAGGAGAGCGUUCUAAGGGCGUUGAAGCAUGAUCGUAAGGACAUGUGGAGCGCUUAGAAGUGAGAAUGCCGGUGUGAGUAGCGAAAGACGGGUGAGAAUCCCGUCCACCGAUUGACUAAGGUUUCCAGAGGAAGGCUCGUCCGCUCUGGGUUAGUCGGGUCCUAAGCUGAGGCCGACAGGCGUAGGCGAUGGAUAACAGGUUGAUAUUCCUGUACCACCUAUAAUCGUUUUAAUCGAUGGGGGGACGCAGUAGGAUAGGCGAAGCGUGCGAUUGGAUUGCACGUCUAAGCAGUAAGGCUGAGUAUUAGGCAAAUCCGGUACUCGUUAAGGCUGAGC
rnacentral:rRNA from 1 species